rnacentral:rRNA from 1 species
GGCCAGACUCCUACGGGAGGCAGCAGUGAGGAAUAUUGGUCAAUGGCCGAGAGGCUGAACCAGCCAAGUCGCGUGAGGGAAGACGGCCCUACGGGUUGUAAACCUCUUUUGUCAGGGAGCAAUUGGCGCUACGUGUAGCGUUAUCGAGAGUACCUGAAGAAAAAGCAUCGGCUAACUCCGUGCCAGCAGCCGCGGUAAUACGGAGGAUGCGAGCGUUAUCCGGAUUUAUUGGGUUUAAAGGGUGCGCAGGCGGAAGAUCAAGUCAGCGGUAAAAUUGAGAGGCUCAACCUCUUCGAGCCGUUGAAACUGGUUUUCUUGAGUGAGCGAGAAGUAUGCGGAAUGCGUGGUGUAGCGGUGAAAUGCAUAGAUAUCACGCAGAACUCCGAUUGCGAAGGCAGCAUACCGGCGCUCAACUGACGCUCAUGCACGAAAGUGUGGGUAUCGAACAGGAUUAGAUACUCCCGUAAG